rnacentral:rRNA from 1 species
UACGUAGGCAGCAAGCGUUGUUCGGAAUUACUGGGCGUAAAGAGCGUGUAGGCGGCUUUGCAAGUCCGUUGUGAAAACUCGAGGCUCAACCUCGAGACGCCGGUGGAAACUGCAAAGCUAGAGUCCGGAAGAGGAGAGUGGAAUUCCUGGUGUAGCGGUGAAAUGCGCAGAUAUCAGGAAGAACACCCGUGGCGAAGGCGGCUCACUGGCUCGUAACUGACGCUCAUGCACGACAGCGUGGGGAUCAAACAGG